CCUACGGGGGGCAGCAGUGAGGAAUCUUGCGCAAUGGGGGCAACCCUGACGCAGCGACACAGUGUGGAGGAGGAAGGUCUUCGGAUUGUAAACUCCUUUUAUGAGGGAAGAAUAGAUGACGGUACCUCAUGAAUAAGCACCUGCUAACUACGUGCCAGAAGCAUCGGUGAUGCGUAGGGUGCGAACGUUAUCCGGAUUUAUUGGGCGUAUAGAGAAGCGUAGGUGUUUUUGUAAGUCUUUAGUUAAAUACCACGGCUCAACCGUGGGGAAGCUUCGGAAACUACAGAAAUUGAGACAGGAAUGGGCGAAUGGAAUUCCCAGUGGAGCGGUGAAAUGCGUUGAUAUUGGGAGGAACAUCAGUGGCGAAGGCGAUUCGCUGGUCCUUGUCUGACACUAAGGCUCGAAAGCGUGGGGAGCGAAACGGCUUAGAUACCCCUGUAGUC
rnacentral:rRNA from 1 species